rnacentral:tRNA from 1 species
GUUUUGGUAGUUUAAAUAAAACUUUAGCCUUGUAAGCUAAGAUUGGUUCACCCCACAACU